CAGUCGCCGCGGUAAUACGGAGGGGGCUAGCGUUGUUCGGAAUUACCGGGCGUAAAGCGCACGUAGGCGGCUUGGUAAGUUAGAGGUGAAAGCCUGGAGCUCAACUCCAGAAUUGCCUUUAAGACUGCCGAGCUAGCAGGUGAGAGAGGUAAGUGGAAUUCCGAGUGUAGAGGUGAAAUUCGUAGAUAUUCGGAAGAACACCAGUGGCGAAGGCGGCUUACUGGCUCAUACUGGACGCUGAGGUGCGAAAGCGUGGGGAGCAAACAGGAUUAGAUACCCGGGUAGUCCCUGUCUCUUAUAC
rnacentral:rRNA from 1 species